rnacentral:lncRNA from 1 species
UAUAUCCCCUGAAUACACCCACAAUAUAUAUAAUGGGGAAAACCAUUAAGUACCAAACCAAAAUCAGUGUGAUUUAAAUAAUUGGUGGGAUUUUGGUUGGAAUAGCUGUCAUUUUAAUUACAGCCUUUGCUGUUUCUUUGAAAAUCAAACUCCAUAGGGUCCUAAACCUUUCCUAGUGAGCUCUUUGCUCACCAGCCUUAUAAUACUCCUUACAUUGAGCCUUUAGGAGGAAUGGAGCUGGUUUAAGUUCUGAUAACUCAGUAGGAUUUGAGGAUGAGGCUGCUGCACUUUUUUUUUUUGAAAGAUGACCCAGAAAUGCAAAUUUCCCAGUUUUGUUAUCCACUGUAGCUUUCUGAGGAUUGUUCUGU